rnacentral:rRNA from 1 species
CGCGGCCUAUCAGCUUGUUGGUGAGGUAACGGCUCACCAAGGCGACGACGGGUAGCUGGUCUGAGAGGACGAUCAGCCACACUGGAACUGAGACACGGUCCAGACACCUACGGGUGGCAGCAGUCGAGAAUCAUUCACAAUGGACGAAAGUCUGAUGGUGCAACGCCGCGUGGAGGAUGAAGGCCCUAGGGUCGUAAACUCCUGUCAUCAGGGAGUAAGCCUUGGUCGUUAAUAGCUUCCAAGGUUGAUAGUACCUGAAGAGGAAGGGACGGCUAACUUCGUGCCAGCAGCCGCGGUAAUACGAAGGCCCCAAGCGUUGUUCGGAAUCACUGGGCGUAAAGAGUAUGUAGGCGGCAAGGUAAGUCAGAUGUGAAAGCCCGGGGCUCAACCUCGGAACUGCAUCCGAUACUGCUUUGCUUGAGUAAUGGAGGGGUGACUGGAAUUCUCGGUGUAGCAGUGAAAUGCGUAGAUAUCGAGAGGAACACUCGUGGCGAAGGCGAGUCACUGGACAUUUACUGACGCUGAGAUACGAAGGCCAGGGUAGCGAAAGGGAUUAGAUACCCCUGUAGUCCUGGCAGUAAACGGUGCGCGCUUGGUGUGGGAGGAUUCGACCCCUUCCGUGCCGGAGCUAACGCGUUAAGCGCCCCGCCUGGGGAGUACGG